AUGAACGCUAGCGGCAGGCCUAAUACAUGCAAGUCAGGGGUGACAUGAUCAGCUUGCUGAUUGAUGACGACCGGCGCACGGGUGCGUAACGCGUAUACAACUUACCUUUAUCUGGAGGAUAGACCCGGAGAAAUUCGGAUUAAUACUCCAUAGUAUUAUAAAGUAGCAUUGCUUAAUAAUUAAAGAUUUAUCGGAUAAAGAUAGGUAUGCGUUCCAUUAGCUAGUUGGUGCAGGUAACGGCUCACCAAGGCGACGAUGGGUAGGGGUUCUGAGAGGAAGGUCCCCCACACUGGCACUGAGAUACGGGCCAGACUCCUACGGGAGGCAGCAGUAGGGAAUAUUGGUCAAUGGAGGCAACUCUGAACCAGCCAUGCCGCGUGAACGAUGAAGGCCUUCGGGUUGUAAAGUUCUUUUGUAUGGGAAGAAACUCACCCCUGCGGGGGUGCUUGACGGUACCAUAAGAAUAAGCACCGGCUAACUCCGUG
rnacentral:rRNA from 1 species